UAUGGAGAGUUUGAUCCUGGCUCAGAGUGAACGCUGGCGGCGUGCCUAAUACAUGCAAGUCGAACGAUGAAGCUUCUAGCUUGCUAGAAUGCUGAUUAGUGGCGCACGGGUGAGUAACGCAUAGGUCAUGUGCCUCUUAGUUUGGGAUAGCCAUUGGAAACGAUGAUUAAUACCAGAUACUCCCUACGGGGGAAAGAUUUAUCGCUAAGAGAUCAGCCUAUGUCCUAUCAGCUUGUUGGUAAGGUAAUGGCUUACCAAGGCUAUGACGGGUAUCCGGCCUGAGAGGGUGAACGGACACACUGGAACUGAGACACGGUCCAGACUCCUACGGGAGGCAGCAGUAGGGAAUAUUGCUCAAUGGGGGAAACCCUGAAGCAGCAACGCCGCGUGGAGGAUGAAGGUUUUAGGAUUGUAAACUCCUUUUGUUAGAGAAGAUAAUGACGGUAUCUAACGAAUAAGCACCGGCUAACUCCGUGCCAGCAGCCGCGGUAAUACGGAGGGUGCAAGCGUUACUCGGAAUCACUGGGCGUAAAGAGCGCGUAGGCGGGAUAGUCAGUCAGGUGUGAAAUCCUAUGGCUUAACCAUAGAACUGCAUUUGAAACUACUAUUCUAGAGUGUGGGAGAGGUAGGUGGAAUUCUUGGUGUAGGGGUAAAAUCCGUAGAGAUCAAGAGGAAUACUCAUUGCGAAGGCGACCUGCUGGAACAUUACUGACGCUGAUUGCGCGAAAGCGUGGGGAGCAAACAGGAUUAGAUACCCUGGUAGUCCACGCCCUAAACGAUGGAUGCUAGUUGUUGGAGGGCUUAGUCUCUCCAGUAAUGCAGCUAACGCAUUAAGCAUCCCGCCUGGGGAGUACGGUCGCAAGAUUAAAACUCAAAGGAAUAGACGGGGACCCGCACAAGCGGUGGAGCAUGUGGUUUAAUUCGAAGAUACACGAAGAACCUUACCUAGGCUUGACAUUGAGAGAAUCCGCUAGAAAUAGUGGAGUGUCUGGCUUGCCAGACCUUGAAAACAGGUGCUGCACGGCUGUCGUCAGCUCGUGUCGUGAGAUGUUGGGUUAAGUCCCGCAACGAGCGCAACCCCCUUUCUUAGUUGCUAACAGGUUAUGCUGAGAACUCUAAGGAUACUGCCUCCGUAAGGAGGAGGAAGGUGGGGACGACGUCAAGUCAUCAUGGCCCUUACGCCUAGGGCUACACACGUGCUACAAUGGGGUGCACAAAGAGAAGCAAUACUGCGAAGUGGAGCCAAUCUUCAAAACACCUCUCAGUUCGGAUUGUAGGCUGCAACUCGCCUGCAUGAAGCUGGAAUCGCUAGUAAUCGCAAAUCAGCCAUGUUGCGGUGAAUACGUUCCCGGGUCUUGUACUCACCGCCCGUCACACCAUGGGAGUUGUGUUUGCCUUAAGUCAGGAUGCUAAAUUGGCUACUGCCCACGGCACACACAGCGACUGGGGUGAAGUCGUAACAAGGUAACCGUAGGUGAACCUGCGGUUGGAUCACCUCCUU
rnacentral:rRNA from 1 species